CGGGGGGCUGCAGCAGUGGGGAAUUUUGCGCAAUGGGGGAAACCCUGACGCAGCAAUACCGCGUGAGUGAAGAAGGCCUUUGGGUCGUAAAGCUCUUUUCUUGGGGAAGAUAGUGACGGUACCCAAGGAAUAAGCACCGGCUAACUCCGUGCCAGCAGCCGCGGUAAUACGGAGGGUGCAAGCGUUGUUCGGAUUUACUGGGCGUAAAGGGCACGUAGGCGGCACAGCAAGUUAAGGGUGAAAUCCCGGGGCUCAACUCCGGAACUGCUCUUAAAACUGCUGAGCUAGAGAUAGUCAGAGGCGGGUGGAAUUCCAGGUGUAGAGGUGAAAUUCGUAGAUAUCUGGAGGAACACCGGUGGCGAAGGCGGCCCGCUGGGGCUAUUCUGACGCUAAGGUGCGAAAGCGUGGGGAGCAAACGGGAUUAGAUACCCUUGUAGUC
rnacentral:rRNA from 1 species